GUCGAUGGACCGCAUGGGCCCGAAGCAACCUCACGACCACGUUACAUGGAUGACUCGACGGGUGAGGUUUUUCUAGAUGGGUACGGAUUUAGGAAAAUUUUUUACCCACGAUGAGUAUGGGUAUAUUGAUAGAACCGAAAGUCGAUCUGGGAUACCAAUACCCGAUAGAGAUUUAUCCAUUGACGUCUCUACAUAGAUGGAUCACUCCGGUGCAUGGCUUGUAGCAUACUUUUUCUUAUUUUAUUUGUUUGAACAGCGCUAUAUAUUCGUAUGGAGAGAGUACCGUGGUAGUUAGGCGUGGAAAGCACGGGGAGAUCGGCCGCGAAAUAUUUGUGUGUUCUUCCGUAAGAAUCUUCCAAAUUUUCAGUAUACAUGAUGGACCAGACAUGUUGCAGAUUCCAUUACAUGUAUCCCUCCCUAUCACUGGGAGUAAUUCUUAUUAACCUCACCAUUUUUUUGAUUAACCUCCCUAUCAUUCUGUUUUUUUUUACCUUUUUAUAAACAUUAACACAAACAGGUUGUUACAUGGACCCCAUCGAGGAAGUCAACAAGAGCUUCUAGACGUCGUGAAUUUCACUGUAGUUGGAACUACCCUGAACUUCUGGAAAACAGAACUCAGUCCCUCUGUUCAUUUCCUCAGUAAUUUUCUCGCAAGAUCAGAGUAAACUGCAUGAGCAUAUGGUUAUGUUCGUCCAAAAAACAAUCAAUUAAACGCAUUUUUUCAGCUUUCUCUGUGACCGAC
rnacentral:lncRNA from 1 species